AAUUUUAUCACUGUUUUGUACUGGUGUGGUCCUGAGGAAGGGGUUGUAUCCCCGAAAACGUUCGACCUAAUACAGAUUUCAACUUUAUGCAGCUGAGGGGAUUGUGGAUCCCGUGUUGGCGGACUCUCCAAAAGUUGCAAUGGGAGCCUUGAGGACACAUUUGAUAUACGUCGUUGAGGUGGAGAUGCAGCUUGUCUGGUUGGGACAUCCGGACGGUGUCUCUUGUGUACCAUGUGUUUGUGAGUAGCCGAUUCCUGGGGAGGGCGCCUUCUGGAAAUGUGCCAUUGUCUAGAUGGUCCUAUCUCAAAAAAAAAAAAACAAUUAAUGUUUUGUCAAACAUUUACACGCAUAAUAUGUCCUUCAAGUGAUACUUUACCUGCUUCACCAUCAUCAUCAUCGUGGACCUGAGAGGUGGGAGGGCAGCCUGUUGUGCUUUUUUGUGACACUGUGAAGAUCUGAAAUGUAUAAAUAAUUUAAAAAUACUGUGUAAAUAACAUUUUUAAAACAUUUUGUAGUUUUUGCUUCUGAAGUCAAUAAACAUAUUUAUGCUAAACAUCUCAGCCACAGUUGUUAAAGUCUAGAUUGUCUGUAGAUAGGCCAGGAACCAAACACACCACAAAAUCUAAAAACAUUUGCCCAUGUGCUUAGUUCACACUGCCACCCAGCCUAAUUAAUUAGCAUGUAAUAGGAUCGGACCAAAAAAUAUAUAUAUAAACACACUACACUAAAAAUGCCAUUUAUAUUUUAAAAGGAUGGGUGGACGUACACAAACACUAUUACACAAAACCGAAAGCAUUAGAUAAACCAACAAUUUGGACCAAAUGACCAAACAAAUGCCAAACACAUUGUCCUCAAAACAAACAAAAAAACAAACCUAUGGACACAUGUCAAACAAAGUGAACAUCAACACCAAAUAUUUCACAACAUUAUAAAACAAAAAUAACAACAAAAAAACCAAGGUAUAUAUGUAAAAAUGCUACACAUACAUUUCACAGUAGCAAACACAUUUACAAUGCAAAGAGUAAUUGACUGUGCCUCAUGAGCCACACCAAAACCUAAAUAAGAAAAAUAACUAGCCAUUCAGCAUAAACAAGUUACUGCAGUAAUGUUAUUGGGAAUGUAUAAACACACACUAAAUAUGCAUACUCCAAUCUGUGUAGCUCAAAUUAUGGAGACGGGUAUAAACAGGAAAUGAGCGCUACUGAACUACUGGAGUGUGGCGUCACAUGAUGGAAGCGAUACAUAGAAAUCAUGGACAUCGCCACCCAGGAGUGAGAUGUAUAUUCACUGGAAAUUGUGAUCCAAUGGACUUAUCCCGGACUUUCUAUGGAACCAAUGAAAUAAAAUUAUAAAUUUAUAUGGAUAUAGUGAAGUAUGAUGUUGAUAGACAGCAAUAUUUUGAUACAGAUAUGUAUAUUAUUCUGUAUAA